rnacentral:rRNA from 1 species
ACGGGUCCAGGAUUAGCCAUGCAUGUCUAGUAUAAAUAUCUUACUGUGAAACUGCGAACGGCUCAUUAUAUCAGUUAUAGUUCCUUUGAUAAUCCCUUACUACUUGGAUAACCGUAGUAAUUCUAGAUUCAUUGGUAAGAGCUUCUUAGAGGGACGUUCAUUCUACAAGAUGAAGGAAGAUGGCGGCAAUAACAGGUCUGUGAUGCCCUUAGAUGUCCUGGGCCGCACGCGCGCUACACUGAUGCACUCAACGAGCAUAUAACCUUGGCCGAGAGGCCUGGGUAAUCUUGUUAACAUGCAUCGUGAUAGGGAUCGAUUAUUGCAAUUAUUAAUCUUGAACGAGGAAUUCCUAGUAAUCGCAGAUCAUCAAUCUGCAAUGAUUACGUCCCUGCCCUUUGUACACACCGCCCGUCGCACCUACCGAUUGAAUGGUCCGUGAAGCCUUGGGAUGUGGUCUGGCUCCUUUAUUGGGGCCUGACUGUGAAACUUGUCAAACCUA